GUAGGCGUUUCAUUUCAAACCAUCUACGAGUGCAGAUAUGUCUUAUGAGCAGAAAAGACUCGUGUUAUUACGGUGCCAAUGUAUUUUCUUUCGUAAAAACAAUACGCUAGUUAAUAGUUAGCUACCAUAAUAGCUUAUCUAGUUAGCAUAACUACCCAGUACAAUGAACAGCUAAUAAUGAUGUGACCUGUACGUGUGCAUUUAUUGUUUUGGCAAAUAUUGUUAAUCACCGUCGUCACAUUUCGUCUUGACAUCUGGUGAAGAGGGCAAAAAAGUAUUGGGCUGAGUGCAAGCAGCUACAUUUAGAACAAGACGAGGGAAAACUCACUGUAACACUAUGCUAGGUCCGACAAGGUUUUCAUAUCGAGUAGACAUCUGUAAAUAAGGCGUGUGUUGGUUUAAUGUAGCGAUUGUUUUAGGAUGGGGCUCCGUUUAAGUCAUUAAAUCUGCACGCACAUAACCGUGUUGCCCUGGCUGGUCGUAAUGGUUCAAAGCGCUUACGUGCAACUUUGAAGUUGCAAUUCAUCCUCCUGUCACUUUCGAGCAGCUACCGGUAAAAUUUGCUGAACCCUCGCUCUCGUACCCGAAACAGCAUCAUCACCAGUGUUGGGCAGUAAUGCAUUACAAAAGUAAUUAAUUGCCUCUACUGUAAUGCAUUACAGGGCAAAAAUAUGUAAUAUUAACUUAGUUACAAUGCUUACAAGUUACAUUUCAGUGUGGUGGGUCAGAAAUAAGCUACUGUAUUCCUGAACCUGGUAGUUUUAGUUUGCAUGCUGCCAAAACACCUCUUGGGUGGGAGGUAAAAGUCAUGACUCAUGCAAAAGUAGUGUAAUGCCUUAUAUUUUAAAUAUAGUAAUGAUUUAGUGUAAGGGAUUAUUUUGAAAAGACAGUAACAUAACAUGUAAGCUUAAUCAGUAGUAACUUGCCCAACACUGAUCAUCACCCAUACGACAUGCAUUUCAUUUUAUUAUAACCAGGGUGCGAUUUGUAGUCAGGGAUUGUCCCCCCUUGUGGUCUUGAUAUCGCCACUUUUUCUGCAUGAUUUUAUCACAGUUCAAUGUAAUUCCAUUGAUAUCGCUUACAAUCUGAAACAUAUUCCCCCUUCUGGUUUUCCAGAUCACAAAUCGCACCCUGAUUAUAACCAUUGCAUUACUCUGGUUAUACAGUAGCCCACUACUUUUCAUUACAUGUAAUGAUGUAGAGAUCUAGAGCUAAUAUAAUGCUUCUCCCAGUAGGCCUAGUGGAUCCACACCGUGACCUAAGUGCACUGGACCCUGUUGAUAUGCAGCCACCUCAGCUUCAUGAAGAAACGGCAAGAUUCAGAUGACUACACCGUUUCAGAUCUACUCAUCUCGCUCACCUGUCCACCUGGAUGAAGGAUCACACUCUGCAGCUGAACAUGUCCAAAACCAAGCUCCCAAUCAAAUUGUUCUAGGUUAAUCUCUAACAACAACCUUUUUCUUCCUGCA